ACCACACACACAUACACACACACACACACACACACACACACACAGACACACACCCUAUUUCUCUCUCCAGAUGUUUCCAGUAACAUGUGUCUGUGAACUAUUUUAGUCUGAUAUGAGAUCAGAUUCUCAACGAGACGCCAUGAUGGUCAGGGAGCAGCCAGACCCAUGUGACGCGUUCGUCCAAUCAGCUGCCGGUUUUCAUUUUUUGGAGCGACAACACAGAUUAGCGCCGCCUGUUGCUAUGGAGACGUAUUAGGUCUCGUCUCUUCGGUGUGUUCAACUUUCUGGACCGACUCGAGGAGACUGACCAGCUGACUGGCUCUGCUGCUGACAGUCUGAGGCUUUACUGGGGGAGCUAGAGGCCUGAGUUAGUUGAUUUUUAUGAUUAUAUGUCAUGAUUUUUUCUUUGUUUUAGAAUAUAUUUUAAGUUUAAAAUGUACCUGACAUUGUAAAUGUCCAUCGGUGUAAAACAUUCCUGGUAUUAUUUGUGUUUUAAGGGAUGUAGAAGUUGUGAUUAUUCUCAUCUUUAAGUCGUUGUAAUGAGAAGAUGGAGACACGAAUGUCGUGUGUUACUUUUGUGGAAGCAGGUUUUCAACCCCGUCUCUAAUGCACUGAAACAUUUGGUUGGUUGACAAUUGUUUGAAAUGCCAAAACUUUUGGUUUUCUCGGACCAGUAUAUAUAUAUUUGUACUGCUAGAUUUGAUUUUUCCUUUUGUAAAUCACAAUCAUGUGCUCUGUAUUACACUUCUUCUGUGUAUUUCACAUGUACUGUGUAUUUUUAGGCAACGACAGUUAUGAAUAAAUUAAUUUCAGAGCCAUA